rnacentral:rRNA from 1 species
UACGUAGGGGGCAAGCGUUGUCCGGAAUUAUUGGGCGUAAAGAGCGUGUAGGCGGCCAGAUAAGUCCGCUGUGAAAUCUCGAGGCUCAACUUCGAGCUGUCGGUGGAAACUAUCUGGCUAGAGUCCGGAAGAGGAGAAUGGAAUUCCUGGUGUAGCGGUGAAAUGCGCAGAUAUCAGGAAGAACACCCGUGGCGAAGGCGGCACUCUGGGCCGGUACUGACGCUGAGGAGCGAAAGCGUGGGGAGCAAACAGG